UAGGGAAUAUUGGUAAUGUGCGAAAGCGCGAACCAGCAACGCCGCGUGCACGAUGAAGGCCUUCGGGUCGUAAAGUGCUUUUAGAGAGGAUGAGGAAGGACAGUACUUUCUGAAUAAGCCUCGGCUAACUACGUGCCAGCAGCCGCGGUAAUACGUAGGAGGCAAGCGUUAUCCGGAUUUACUGGGCGUAAAGCGCAUGCAGGUGGUUUUGUAAGUUGGAUGUGAAAGCUCCUGGCUUAACUGGGAGAGGUCGUUGACAACUACAAGACUUGAGAUUGGUAGAGNAAAAUGGAAUUCCGGGUGUAGUGGUGAAAUGCGUAGAUAUCCGGAGGAACACCAGUGGCGAAAGCGGUUUUCUGGACCAAUUCUGACGCUCAGAUGCGAAAGCUAAGGUAGCAAACG
rnacentral:rRNA from 1 species